rnacentral:lncRNA from 1 species
UUCUUUAGUAAAUGGUGAUUAACACAGAUUUUCCCACCCAUUCUGAGAAGUCGAUCUAGGGCUUAGGAUCUGAACAAGUUGCUUUGCAUAGGCUCUGCUCUGAAGACUGAGGUGGGUCUGCCACUCUGUAGGCUGAAACACGAGCUCUGGAGACUGUCAUUUGCACUUGUGUCUAGAAGUGCCUGUCUUCUGACUAUCGUAUUCUUCCAUGGAGCACCGGGGUGGCAGGUCUCCAGGAGAACCCAUUCUGCCUUUCAUUGAGGUUGCCUUCCAUCCUGGAGUCAAGUUCUGCCCAACAUCACAGGAUUUAGUUGCCUCCUUCACUCCUUUUUGGCUACUAGGCUACUAUUCUAUAUACUAAGUAUCGCACUCUGAGUCUUCCUGGCCAAUAUAACUGGAUUGAGAAGCACCUAAAAGAUAGAUCUUUGGGACCUUCAUGAAACUACUUCCAUGUUGGAAUGUGGAAUUUGGGGAACUUGAAUCUGUAUUUCCUGGCUGUGACCACUCUCAUAUUUUGCUCCAGAAUAAACUAUCUCCUAUCUCUUUUGAGGAUCUCUGGACUCAUUAAACAGUACCAGUGCCUGGGCCAGCAAGAUGGAUGGCUUGGUGGGUAAAGGUGCCUGCUACAGAGCCUGAGGAUGCCAGCCCAACCCCUGGAACCCACACGGUGGAAGAAAACUAACUUUAACAAGCUGUCUUUUGAUGUCCACAUGUGAGUUGAGGUGUGAGCCCCCCU